rnacentral:rRNA from 1 species
UACGUAGGGUGCGAGCGUUAAUCGGAAUUACUGGGCGUAAAGCGUGCGCAGGCGGUCAGUUAAGACCGAUGUGAAAUCCCCGGGCUUAACCUGGGAACUGCAUUGGUGACUGGCAGGCUUUGAGUGUGGCAGAGGGAGGUAGAAUUCCACGUGUAGCAGUGAAAUGCGUAGAGAUGUGGAGGAAUACCGAUGGCGAAGGCAGCCUCCUGGGCCAACCCUGACGCUCAUGCACGAAAGCGUGGGGAGCAAACAGG